rnacentral:rRNA from 1 species
AUUGAACGCUGGCGGCAGGCCUAACACAUGCAAGUCGAACGGUAGCACAGAGAGCUUGCUCUCGGGUGACGAGUGGCGGACGGGUGAGUAAUGUCUGGGAAACUGCCUGAUGGAGGGGGAUAACUACUGGAAACGGUAGCUAAUACCGCAUAACGUCGCAAGACCAAAGAGGGGGACCUUCGGGCCUCUUGCCAUCAGAUGUGUCCAGAUGGGAUUAGCUAGUAGGUGGGGUAAUGGCUCACCUAGGCGACGAUCCCUAGCUGGUCUGAGAGGAUGACCAGCCACACUGGAACUGAGACACGGUCCAGACUCCUACGGGAGGCAGCAGUGGGGAAUAUUGCACAAUGGGCGCAAGCCUGAUGCAGCCAUGCCGCGUGUAUGAAGAAGGCCUUCGGGUUGUAAAGUACUUUCAGCGGGGAGGAAGGUGUUGCGGUUAAUAACCGCAGCAAUUGACGUUACCCGCAGAAGAAGCACCGGCUAACUACGUGCCAGCCGCCGCGGUAACAC